AACACAUCAUUUACGCAUCAGCGCUAGGCCAGGCUUUCCUCUGUGUGGAAUGUACAGAUUAAAGUUUGGAGCCCUUGGUUUUUGAUAAAUGUUUUUAAAUGCUCAUUUGACAGUAGCAUUUUAGAGGGGAAAAAUAACCUUAGACAGCCAAUUUUAAAAUAAAAUUCACAGUUUGCGGAUACUCCAAGCUUCAAUAAUGACUCUUGAAGUCAUUACUCCCUCACUUGGAGCUACAAGACCAGUAAUAUAUUUGUGAAAAGUUGGUAUGAGGAAGAAAUGAAUACAAUCCAACUCUUCAUGCGCUGCAGAAUGCAUCCAGUGCCUUUGGAUCAUGUACUUAGGAUGGUGGACUUGCAGCCGUUUGACAAGGAAGCAUGGUGUGGAGCUUGGAACCAGCAAAGAAUAAACAUCUUAAGAAGACUGCACAGCUCAGCUUGGAACUGCUGGAGAAAGGCAGCCUUUAAGCCUGUGUGUUUUCUUCUUGACGUUCGGUUUUGUGGCAACAAGGAACUUGUGUAUGAGAGAUCAGGGCCUCUUCCAGGCUGUGGGUAGGACUGGCAUGACUGAGAACCCUGCCUUCAGAGUCCUCUGACCCUGCUCAGUUCCUACAGCUAUCUCCAAGCUCUUGUGCUAUGAAACCCCUUUGUUUCUCUAUCUGAACUGUGGCCUCUCCCAUCAACAUCUUCUGACUCUCUGUUUUGUUACCUAUUCUUUAAAAGAAUCUAAAUCUUAACCAAUUCUAAUGAAGAACUUUAGUCUUACUGGGUUUUUUUGCUUUGUUUUGUUUUUCUACUCAGUUAUUUAAAAUUGAUGUAUAUCCAAAGUUCAGUCUGGCUUCUUAGGUCAAAAGUGUAGGAUUCUGCAAGUAGCUAAAAGAAGGGCUAUACUGAGACACAGCAGGAAUGCUCCUGAAAGUUAAAACAGACAAGCAACAUUCAAAACAAUGAGCUCCUAGGGGUCCACAAAGGAAGGUGGAGUUGGAGGUAAAGGGGACUGACUUCAAACCUGGUGUCCUUUACACUAUACAAGAGUGUGGAUGAGAAAGUUUUGUUUUGGUUGAAGUGCCAGGGUUGUUGCUUUGUGGAUUUUUCUUCCCCCACUGUCAUGGAAUCCCCCACUGUCAUGGAAUUCCCAGGUGGACAAAUAUUCAACGUUCUUAGCCACAAAGAAAA
rnacentral:lncRNA from 1 species